CGUCCCUCUCCCGCCUACUCGCAACGGCCUCCAUCUCGGCGCAGGACCGCCCAACCGGCCUCCUCCAUCCUGACGAUUUUUCAGUAACAAGAUGGCGCAUACCAAAGGCACAAAAGAGGGAAGAUGAACCUACUGAAAACUGCACAUUUGGAAAUUAGUCUUAGGCUGGAUCAAGAGGUAUUCGAGAAACAAAAGAGGCCGAAUCAAGAUGGACAUGGCAGAGCCCGUAUCCUAGGCAUCAAAAACGCCUGUGCGGUGCAAUGGGAGAGAAAAAUAUGCAGUCGUGGAGCAGCACAUAAACCAGCGAGGGAGAGUUCUCAUUCGAGCAAAGUCAAAAGAAAAAUGGUUGAUGAUUCAUCGGAUAAGUCUUCAGAACAGGAUAUCUGUGAUUUGAUGUACCGGAUGGCUUCUCUGGGUACCCUUUGCACUUUAAGGCUGCAAGUUCCUGUGGUGUAGAUAUCACCUUCCAGCUUCGCACGGCCAACAGCAAAAAGGAAGAUAUUUUCUGUUCCAUUCUCUCCAUCAACCACUUAAACAGUAUGUGUUAUAUGUCACCAACACUAGCUUCUGCACACCCUGAGCAACACCAGCACGGAAGGCUGCAUCAACCACUUAAGUAAACCUUUCUUUUUGUUGGCCUAGAUGUAUGACAUGCAAUUCACAUUCAGGGGUCUAACGCCACUUAACUAAACCUUUCCAAUUUUGGCCUAGAUGUAUGACAUGCAAUUCACAUUCAGGGGUCUAACGGCGGUGAUGUUAGGCGUGAUGAUUUAAAUGACAUCUUGAUUUCUUCUAUUGAUGUAGGCCUACACCUGGCUAAAGAAGGCUGAGGGAAGCUGGACGAGCAGCAUGCCAAGGCGGUGGAGAGGACGAACGACAUAGCAAAGAUGCGACGCAAUUCAGAGGAUAAGCCGGUAUGGUUGGCGGACAUGCAAGGGCUGCAGCAUGCAAGGAUUUUGGAGCAGGCCAGCUUCAUGAAGGCCGUCCGCAGGGUGCCCACCAGGCGCUCCUUCGCGUGGUCACAGCGCCACCUCUGCCUAGAGCGAGUGCAAGUGUCCAUUGCUUGAUGUGUUCAUACAUGCUGAUACAACUCUAGGUGGAACACUUUCUGACUAUGUAUUGCUAUGGAUCAAGAUCAUGUUCAAAGGCUCAGCUGGAGGGUUUUGCAGUUGAUGGUUCCGUUUUCCCAAUGCGUAAGUAUAUACAAGAGGUGGUUGGCUGAUAGACAGAAUGGGCUUGGUUAGAUGGAGUCGCCAUAUAGCCAAUGCUCUGUUUUCUAUACUUUUCCAGUCAAUAUAUUAAAGGCUGUCUUUUUUUUGUUAGGAGUUAGUCUAUGGUUGCACUCAAUAAGUACAUCAAAGGCUGCUUUUUUUUUGUUUCCUGUUGUUAUAAGGCUUCUUAUUAUUCCAGGGGAGUUAGUUUACGGGGGCACAACUUGUAGGGAUCUGAACCUGAAGUGAGAUUAAAGGAUUACGUAUUAUAGACCAU